GUUCGGAUUGUAGGCUGAAACUCGCCUACAUGAAGCUGGAGUUGCUAGUAAUCGCGAAUCAGAAUGUCGCGGUGAAUACGUUCCCGGGUCUUGUACACACCGCCCGUCACACCAUGAGAGUUGGCAAUACCCAAAGUUCGUGAGCUAACCGCAAGGAGGCAGCGACCUAAGGUAGGGUCAGCGAUUGGGGUGAAGUCGUAACAAGGUAGCCGUAGGAGAACCUGCGGCUGGAUCACCUCCUUUCUAUGGAGA
rnacentral:rRNA from 1 species